AGCUCCAGCUGUGGGCCCAGGAUCUGGCCUCAGGAAGGCAGUCGAGGGGAACUGGACUAUGGCCUUGGCAUUGACUAAGGAGUUGGGGGGUACAGAGAGAGGUCCUCACAGCUCGAAGGAAGGGGGUCCAGGUGGGGAAGGGCAGGCACUCAGACCCAGGGCCUGAGUCCUCAGUAGCAGGAGGCUCAGGUAUGAAGUGCUGGAGAGGCCCCAGGGCUUUGGGAGAUGGGGGCUGGCAAGGGGGCUGCCUAGAGACUCCACAGGCUACUGCCUCCCGAGGCCAGCUGCCCUGACCCAGCUGAGAGACCUGGACCAGCCCAGGAGUCUGGGAUCCGUUAAUCAGGCCCCCGGUGGCCGCCAGUCCCGCGGCCAUCUUCCUGUGGGCCCUGCCACUCAGAAGCCCAAGGACUCACCCUACUCACCUUUUACCUUCACUCCCAGGAAGCCCAUGUGGGUGGGGCCAGCCAGGUGCUCUCGUGGCUAUGACUUAUGAGGCUGCCUGGGAAGGGCUGGGCAACUGGGUCUCCCUCACCCUACCUCGCCCCUGAGUUCCUGGAAGCCCCCCUCUCUACCUCCACAGGGUCAAAGGGCCUCUGGGCUGCAAUUGUUGGAGGAGGCCUCAUCAGGUGUUGGGCCCCAGCUGCUCCCCACUCCCCCUGCGGAGUCUGCCCUCCUGAUUCCGAGAACCCCACCCUGAGUCAGGUCUUCCUGAUGCAGUCCCACGCUCUUGACAGCCCCACUCCAAGUGGGAGGAGCAGGGUUCUUCCAACUCUGAAACAGAUCUGUAUUUUUUUUCCUUUCAUUCAAUCAACAAAACCUCAAGCUGGGCCCUUUCUAUACCUAGGGAAGGGUCAAGAGAAAUAGCAAUAACAACUGACAGCUUUUAGUGCACCAGGUAUCACCUCCUGUAGCCUCCCAUUUCCUUAUUAUUAUCCCAUCUGCCAAUGAGGAAACUGAGGCCACUUAGAGAGGUUAAUGACUUGCCCAAGGUACCCCAGGCUGGUGAGUGGUGAGGCUGGAUUUGAACACUGAGCCAGGAGGCAGGCGAUGGGACUAGACUCAGUGGAACCUGAGGGAUCUCAGUCCAAUGAAUGGAUAACUGUCACCAGGAGUCAUACCUGAGGGUAGGGAGUGGGCCUCAGGAGCCCAGAAGAGGCACCUGACACCACUCAGGGGCCAGCGAAGGCUGCCCAGGAAAGAAUGACUUUGAAACAAAAGCCUGGGGAGUGAGAUGGAGUUGGCCCUGCAGAGGCAUGGGGAGAGGGUGGGCACAGGGGGACCAGGCAUAGGGCUUGGAGGGAAGGGGGAGUGCUGGGUGACUUUGGGGCUGGAGGGCUGGAAGGGCUGGGGGCUGCUACAGCAGAUUCUCAGCACACCCUCCGCUGGGCAGACCCCAGCUUAGUCAGCGUGCUCUGACCCAGAGCCUGCCCCGGCGUGAACAUCCUUGCUGCUCACCUCCUGGUGCUGGUAGUGUUUCGGUGGUGGCAGGGUUCCGAGAUCCUGCCAUACACAGCCUGCCCUGGGAACUGUCAGUACCAAAAAGGAUCAUGAUGUGAUUUACUGGCCCUGCUUCGAUUGGUGGGCACGGGGAUAUUCAGAUUAAACUGUAGGGGCGAGCCCCCACCCCACCCCACCCCACCCAAAGGCAAGCCAUAGAUGGGACGCAGGAGCCUCGAACAGUCUGCAGCUGAUGCAUCAUUCUCUGCCCCAGGUCUUGGGGGAGGAGGGACUGCAGGCAAGAGAACACCCACACAGAGUGGCCAAGGUGAGGGGCGGUUUCUGUAGGGCCUCCUCAGCAACCAAACGGAAAUUUCCUAGGUGGGGGGAGAGUGCCCCCCUCACUUGCUCACUCUCCUGGGUCCACCUUUGCAUUCUGUGGCUAGCCAUACCCCUCAUGCUUCCCCGACCCACUCCCUUCCUGGAACUGAGGUGGUUGGCCUCCCCAGCUCACUCGAAAAGCAUUUAUUUGCUACCUGCUGUUUGCCAGGCCCUGUGUCGGACACCGGGACACAAUGGUGAAUAAGACACAGGUCUUAUCCUCAGGCAACACAUGUCUCCCUGGGGGUGGGAGGCAGGUGAACGAGUCACGGCGGUGAGGUGGUAUGGGGGUGGGCGCAGAGGCCACGGGACUGGAGAGGGAGUGUCAGGAAAGGAGCAGCAGUGGGCAUGGACACUGGAGGUCCGCCCUGAGGUUCGGUGCUGUGUGCUGCAACUCCCUGAGGGGAGGGACAGUUUGAGGAAGCUCCCGUGAUCCUCAGACUCUAGGUUGUUGCCCGGUGCACGCUGAGCCUCAGUGGAUGUUUGCUGAUUCCACUGAGUGUGUGAAAAGGUGAGUCUGGACAAUUCCACGGGGACUGAUGCUCCAGCCUCCUACCUCUCCAGUUUCCUUUUCGUUCCAGCUUUUUCUGCCUUUCACGGGACUGGGUCACUAUCAGAGUGUUCGGUGUGUUCUGAGACCGCAGCUGCCAAAUGGGUGU